AUGAACGCUAGCGGCAGGCUUAACACAUGCAAGUCAGGGGUAGAAGGAGCUUGCUCCUUUGAGACCGGCGCACGGGUGCGUAACGCGUAUGCAAUCUACCUUUUGCAGAGGGAUAGCCCAGAGAAAUUUGGAUUAAUACCUCAUAGUAUGUGAGGAUGGCAUCAUUUUCACAUUAAAGUCACAACGGCAAAAGAUGAGCAUGCGUCCCAUUAGCUAGUUGGUAAGGUAACGGCUUACCAAGGCUACGAUGGGUAGGGGUCCUGAGAGGGAGAUCCCCCACACUGGUACUGAGACACGGACCAGACUCCUACGGGAGGCAGCAGUGAGGAAUAUUGGACAAUGGGCGCAAGCCUGAUCCAGCCAUGCCGCGUGCAGGAUGACGGUCCUAUGGAUUGUAAACUGCUUUUGUACAGGAAGAAACACUACUUCGUGAAGUAGCUUGACGGUACUGUAAGAAUAAGGAUCGGCUAACUCCGUG
rnacentral:rRNA from 1 species